GUAGGUGAACCUGCGGAAGGAUCAUUAUUGAUUUUCAAAAGAUGUGCUGGCAAUCUCUUGACAGAGCUUGCAUGUGCACUCUUAAAAAUCUCCUCACCCCACUGUGCACACUUCAGUAGGCAACAGUCACAGACAAUCUGUGCAAAUCUCAUUUGCCUAUGUUUUUCUCACACCAAUAUAUUGAGAAUGAUAUGUAGUAAGCUGUAAAAGCUGAAAUCUAAUACAACUUUCAACAAUGGAUCUCUUGGUU
rnacentral:misc_RNA from 1 species